CCCCUCAUUCACCAUUGGCUGUUUACUUGAGAGUUACAAUCUUAUCUGGAAAGCUAGCUAAUCAGAACGUGCAAUUUACAAAGCCACUUAUCCUAAUUAUUCAAGUAGGUUUAACUAAUCAACACAAGAAAUGUUUCAGUCCUACCUAUCUGCAUACCUAUAGCCUCUUAACCAAUCAAAACAAGGACUGUUUCAAUUCUGUCUAUAUGAAAUGGGGCUCAGGUUGGAAACUUGAAACUAGUUUUGAUGGAAAGGCUACUUGACUUCAUCUUAGUGAUUCAUUGAGAGGAAUCCACCCUCUUUCUGAACUUCAUCUCUCACAAAACAGAGGCAACUGGAUAGCAUGGGGCAGCAUUGGUGAACGUUUUCAAGAUGACGUGCCCAAAGAGCAACUUCAAACUGCCUACAGGGAACUAAAAGGAACCUCGAAAGCCUUCUGGAACAAGCCCCCCAUUUUUUGGUUGAAGAAAGUGAGGCUCACAUGGAUCGUGACUUUCUCAAGGACACACAGAUGGGAAUUCCCCAGCAAGGCUUUAGCCAUAACUGUCAGAAGACUGGAAUUCUUUGAGGCUGAGAAAGGAAGACAGACGCAGGUGUUUCCACUUGCAUAAGAAGAGCCCUUCCACAGGAUCUUCAACCGCUCCUUAUACGGCAUCUACUCCAGUCCUCUUGCCAGCCUGCUCAGCCGCCUCUGGAUGUGCUCCAAUUUAUUAAUGUCCAGAAUGAAAAACAAUGAUACCAUUUGGUGGGGAGGUCACAGAGGAGAUUCUGCAUUGGUGAUGGAUUACACCAGAUGGCCUCUAGGAGAGGGGUUCUUAACCUGGGAUCUGUGAACUCAACUUCCUUUAAAAAUAGGUUUUGAUUGUAUUUCUGUAUAAUUGGUUUCCUUUGUAUUUUAUUUUAUGCAUUUAAGA
ensembl:lncRNA